UUAGGGUUUUUUUUUUGACAGGAAGAUGAGAUUUUUACCACGUCCGUUAGGGAAAGAGAGCGCUCGGGGAAUUAAGAAAUGAGAGGGCUUUGUGUGAGAUCGAAGCGACAAACGGGGCGAGCUGUCGGAAAACCUAACGCCCAAUAAUAAUUAAAGAAAAAGCGAAUAUAGGAGAGAAAUUAAGCAUGGGCGGCGUGGGGGAUGGGAAAAAGCAACCAAAUCGGCCCUUUUUUUGAUCGAAACGGACACUGCAAGAAGAAUACUAGAGAAGAUCGAAGCAAAAGGGGAAAAGAGAGAGAAGAGGAUGAUACCCUUCGCUUUCAAACCUGUGAUGGAGCUCAGAUUAGGGUUAGGGUUAGGGUUCAGACCGUGUGAAAGGGAGUGGUGGAAUAGCGGGUUCUGUUUUAUCUCAACGGUAAAAAAGAAUUAAUGACGUUAUGCUUUAUUUGUGAUUCUAUGGGAAGGGAUUAAAGGUGCAUUUGGUUCUCAGCUAGACUGAAAGAGAAAUCCAAAUGCCUCCAACACAUUUAAUUUGUCAUCGAAAUUGAACUCUUGAUCGAAAUAUGAAUUAAAUUUAGAGAAUUGCAACAUUUUAAUUUCUUCCAGCAUAUCGAAAUGGAAACAGCUAUCAGAAUAUGAGCCAUUCAUUCUCAUUUCUAUUUCAUAGUCCAAUUCAUUCGUACCAAAUAUAUCUUAAAUAAUUUAAACAUGUGCUAGAUUUACUAUGAGGGAUGAGUUCUUCUGAUCCCCUUUUGUGCACCCUGUAUGUCAACCAUUUAAUCUAGCACAAGGAGGUGGUGAAGAUGGACAAUGCUGGUCUCCACCCAAUCUCUCACAAAGACACUUGCAACCUUGAGAAUUCCUGUGCUUAGGAGUGCACAAGGCUACGUGUUAAUGUGGUAGGUUGUGAUAUCUCUAGAAUGAGUCAAUUAUCACAUGCAAUUAAUCAACAGCCUCAUGAGCAUA
rnacentral:lncRNA from 1 species